rnacentral:rRNA from 1 species
UACGGAGGAUGCGAGCGUUAUCCGGCUUUAUUGGGUUUAAAGGGAGCGUAGGCGGAACAUUAAGUCAGCGGUAAAAUUGCGGGGCUCAACCCCGUCGAGCCGUUGAAACUGGCAGACUUGAGUUGGCGAGAAGUACGCGGAAUGCGCGGUGUAGCGGUGAAAUGCAUAGAUAUCGCGCAGAACUCCGAUUGCGAAGGCAGCGUACCGGCGCCAGACUGACGCUGAGGCACGAAAGUGCGGGUAUCGAACAGG